CACAGGAAGACUCUGAACUCACCUCCUCCACAGAAUACACCAAUGAUACCUAGUAAUAGACCAGUUCCUCCUAAAAAGAACUGAUGGUUGAACAACCAAAGCCAGAACGGCAAGAUAACAGCAAGAGAGAGGGAGACGUGCAACGCUGGAUGGAUCAUGAAAACAGGAUCAAGCUGUGUAGAAGUACAGGAUGCAAGUGUUAAAAACAUCGGUCAGCAUCUUGGUUUACCCCAGGUACUGUGAGCCACACCCAUCCACACCUACUUCUAGAUGGCCCUCCUUCCAGGGUGUCAGGAACCUUCCAGACAGCUACUUCCACAAGCAAACUUCAGAAGUUUUCAAGCAAUCACUUAGGAAAUGAAAACAUGGUGCUGAGCAAAACAAGCAUGAUGCCUGCCUUCAAGGAAGCUAGUGGACAAGACAAGCAUUAAACAAAUGAUCCCAUAAAUAGAUUCAUAAUUGUGAAUCUUGAUAACUGCUUUGAAGGAAGAGUCUGAGGCGAUGUAAGAGAGCACAGUGGAGAACUGACUUUGUCACACACAUGCCCACAAACUGAUUAAUGCUUAAGUCACAGCCUUACCACUGGAAUCCCUUUCUGAGAAUAUUUUUGAAUUUGCUUUCAGUGGAAUUUUCAUCAUGAAAGCAUUCCCCGCCCUGCCCGUGUUCACCAAGGACACACUAUAUUAAUAUUUACAACUAGUAAUAAGCCUCAUAAGGUUAAACCUUUUGGAAACAACCAGCUUUUCAUUCUA